AUUGAACGCUGGCGGCAUGCCUUACACAUGCAAGUCGAACGGCAGCACGGGGGCAACCCUGGUGGCGAGUGGCGAACGGGUGAGUAACACAUCGGAACGUGCCCAGUAGUGGGGGAUAGCUCGGCGAAAGCCGGAUUAAUACCGCAUACGACCUACGGGUGAAAGCGGGGGAUCGCAAGACCUCGCGCUAUCGGAGCGGCCGAUGUCAGAUUAGGUUGUUGGUGGGGUAAAGGCCACCAAGCCGACGAUCUGUAGCUGGUCUGAGAGGACGACCAGCCACACUGGGACUGAGACACGGCCCAGACUCCUACGGGAGGCAGCAGUGGGGAAUUUUGGACAAUGGGCGCAAGCCUGAUCCAGCCAUGCCGCGUGCGGGAAGAAGGCC
rnacentral:rRNA from 1 species